rnacentral:tRNA from 1 species
UCUAAUGUGGCAGAUAAAUGCAAUGAAUUUAAGCUUCAUUUAUAAAUUUAUAUAUUUCUUUAGAA